rnacentral:rRNA from 1 species
UUGGCCUCUUUACAAUGCUACCACUUACAGAUGAAUCCGCGUCCCAUUAGCCAGUUGGUGGGGUAAAGGCCUACCAAAGCGACGAUGGGUAGCCGGCCUGAGAGGGUGACCGGCCACACUGGAACUGAGAUACGGUCCAGACUCCUACGGGAGGCAGCAGUAGGGAAUCUUCCACAAUGGACGAAAGUCUGAUGGAGCAACGCCGCGUGAACGAUGAAGGCCUUCGGGUCGUAAAGUCCUGUUGUAAGAACAUUCAGGAUAGGAAAUGAUCUUGAACUGACGGUACCUUACCAGAAAGCCACGGCUAACUACGUGCCAGCAGCCGCGGUAAUACGUAGGUGGCAAGCGUUGUCCGGAAUUAUUGGGCGUAAAGCGCGCGCAGGCGGCCUCUUAAGUCUGAUGUGAAAGCCCCCGGCUCAACCCCGUAUGGCCAUAGAAACUGGUUGGCUAGAGGACAGGAGAGGAAAGUGGAAUUCCUAGUGUAGCGGUGAAAUGCGUAGAUAUUAGGAGGAACACCAGUGGCGAAGGCGACUUUCUGGACUGUAACUGACGCUGAGGCGCGAAAGCGUGGGGAGCAAACAGGAUUAGAUACCCUGGUAGUCCACGCUGUAAACGAUGAAUACUAAGUGUUGGAGCAAUUCAGUGCUGCAGUUAACGCAAUAAGUAAUCCGCCUGGGGAGUAUGCACGCAAGUGUGAAACUCAAAGGAAUUGACGGGGGCCCGCACAAGCGGUGGAGUAUGUGGUUUAAUUCGAAGCAACGCGAAGAACCUUACCAAGUCUUGACAUACCGCGCAAGGCCCUGGAGACAGGGAGAUAGUUAUGGCGGAUACAGGUGGUGCAUGGUUGUCGUCAGCUCGUGUCGUGAGAUGUUGGGUUAAGUCCCGCAACGAGCGCAACCCUUAUCUUUAGUUACCAUCAUUCAGUUGGGGACUCUAGAGAGACUGCCGGUGACAAACCGGAGGAAGGUGGGGAUGACGUCAAAUCAUCAUGCCCCUUAUGACUUGGGCUACACACGUACUACAAUGGCGUAUACAGAGAGACGCGAAGUGGCGACAUGGAGCAAAUCCCAAAAAGCCGGUCUCAGUUCGGAUUGGAGUCUGCAACUCGACUCCAUGAAGUUGGAAUCGCUAGUAAUCGCGGAUCAGCAUGCCGCGGUGAAUACGUUCUCGGGCCUUGUACACACCGCCCGUCAAACCAUGAGAGUUGGUAAUACCCGAAGCCGGUGGCCUAACCGUAAGG